ACACAUAUAACUAUAUAACACAUUUGACUUGUAGCCUUCACAGAAGACUUUCUUAUCUCUGCUUUCUUUCUAUUUUCUUCUUGGAAUUGUUAACAAAUUUAAACAUUUAAAAAUAUUUUUAUUUUAUUUUUGUCAGUUACAUAUAAAAAUAAAAUUUUAACAUUUCACUUUUUAUAAUUUUUGAGUUCCAAAUUCCCUCCCCUCUCCAUUUAUUCUCUUUUCCCCCAAAAGGCAAGCACAUUGGUAUAAAUCAUAUUUGUAAAGGUCAUACAAAACACAUUUUCAUAUUGUCUAUGGUGCAAAAGAAAAGACAGAGAAAAAAAAGUAAAAAAGUGCAUGCUUUGACCCCUGUGUUUGCACUCCUGCAAUUCUUUCUCUGAAGGUAGAUAGCAUUCUUUAUCAAAAGUUCUUUGGAAUUAUCUUUUAUCAUUAUAUUGCUGAGAAAAGCUAAGUCAUUCACAGUUGAUCAUUGUAUGAUAUAGCUGUUAUACAUAAUAUUCUUUUAGUUCUGCUCACUUCACUUUGCCUCAGUUCACGUAAGUCUUCCUGGAUUUUUCUGAAAGCAUUCUGCUUGUCCUUUCUUAUAAUAUAAUAGUAUUCCAAAGAAUCAUAUGCCAUAACUUCUUCAACUUUGCUACAUUUUUAAAAACAGAUAUCUCAAUCAACCCUCUUCUCUCUUUUUUUUCCCUACUAUCUAUAUUUUGUUCCCUUGACUCCAAUCCUCCACCUCAUUGCAAAAAAAAAAAAAAAAAAAAAAAAAAAAGAAAAGAAAAAGAGCUUUGGAACAAAUGUGCAUCACAAACAAAUUGCCACAAUGACUGUCUGAAAAGGGUGCAAUCAAUAUGAUGGAAUGAAACCAAUGAAACCAUGAAGUUGUUCGAGCUCUCCCAGUUUCCCUCAAAAACCACAGGAAAUCAAGACUCUGAACAAUAUCUGUUUUGUAUCUAACAAAAUGGAACCACUCUCCAGUUCAAGAUACCAUAAACAAUUAAGUAGAAAGGAAGGCCUAUGAAGUCUGCAGUGAGAACAAUAAAAGAUGAACAACCCUGAUCAAAUGGAAUAACAAGGCCCAGAUUGAAGGAGGGGAAGACUCCUCUUUGCCCUCAUGGGAGUGCCAUGGGGGGACUGAGAAAUCAUCUGAAUGAUAUAAG